CGAAUCUUUUUGAGAUAAUUAUGUGCCCUUUCAAGAACCAAAUCAACCCUAACUUUUGUCUUGUUCUUCCUUGAACUUGGAUAAUGCUUGAUGACAACACUCUUGGGAGAUUCAAGCUCAGAACUUUCACCACUCUUCGUCGCCGGAGUCUGUAAUUCUAGUAGUAAUUUUUGUCGUUAACCACUCAUUUUUAGUGAACAAUACAGUCAACGUGAUUUUCAUUUGAGAAGAAACUAAUUUGGACAAAAUCUGAGGCUCUGUGUAUAUCCAUUUGGAAUGAC
rnacentral:lncRNA from 1 species